ACAAAUAGACACACGCGCAUGCGACAUGUACGUAUAGUGUCAGAGGACGGAAGCAAACGGUUGUUAGCGUGGGGGCAUUUUGAACCAAGCGUUGUUCGUCACGGAUCCAGAGGAUGCAAAUGAAUGCAUCCCCAUCUACCACCUCGGCCCUGUUUGACGAAAGGGGGAUCGGGGAGAAGAACAUGUGGAGGCGUCGGCCCCCGCCGCCGUAGAGAGGUUGCAGGGUGCAUGUAUACAUGGGACCACGAAAGUUGUCUUGGAGCAGCUCAGCCGCGCCAUGGCGAUGGACUUCCCCGUCUCUCCCGUCGACAGGUAAAUAGUUCCCUUGUACAGCAAAACUUGUGUCUCAUCACCGUCCGGCGACAAGAAACCUUAGGGGUUCGGUGGAAACUGGGUGCAGGCUGCCGAUCUUCUCGGACGAGGCGGCUAGCGCGGCGGCGCUCAUGGAGAUCUGCGGUGACCCAGCGUGCAGCGAGGGCGAAGCAGGCAAUGUGUACGUCUUGGAUGAAUAAGCUGCAGGCUAUGGUUCUGAGGCUGAAGAGAAGCUUGUUGUGAUUCAUAACUGUGCCGACAGUGAAAAUGCAACAUCAGCACACUCGAUGGGGAUAAUUGAUCCCUAGGAACCGUGGUGAACAAAAAGGUAAGAAUGGAUUGACACAUUUUUGCUUGGUACUAGCUGGUAGUAGUAAAUAUUUUGGAACGACCUGAGAAAUUUAAGGUUUCCCUGUGGUGAAUCCUAUCAAUGAAAUUAUUAUGUGCACGUUGUACAUAAGUCGAUCGUGU
rnacentral:lncRNA from 1 species